rnacentral:rRNA from 1 species
GUUUCCGUAGGUGAACCUGCGGAAGGAUCAUUUCAGUAUUCUUUUGCCAGCGCUUUAUUGCGCGGCGAAAAACCUUUCACACUAUGUUUUUUUUAUUUGAAACUAUUGCUUUGGUCUGGCUUUGAAAUAGGUUGGGCCAAAGGUUUUUUCAAAACUUCAAUAUUUUUUUUUGAAUUGUUUUUUUUAUUUUUUUGUCAAUUUGUUGAUUUAUAUCAAAAAUCUUCAAAACUUUCAACAACGGAUCUCUUGGUUCUCGCAUCGAUGAAGAACGCAGCGAAAUGCGAUAAGUAAUAUGAAUUGCAGAUUUUCGUGAAUCAUCGAAUCUUUGAACGCACAUUGCGCCCUUUGGUAUUCCAAAGGGCAUGCCUGUUUGAGCGUCAUUUCUCUCUCAAAUCUUCGGAUUUGGUUUUGAGUGAUACUCUUUGUCAGACUAAGCGUUUGCUUGAAAUGUAUUGGCAUGAGUGGUACUAGAUAGUGCUGAACUGUUUUCAAUGUAUUUGGUUUUUCCAACUCGUUGACCAGUAAAGUAUUUGUUUUUUUCACAGGCUCGGCCUUUCAACAACAAACAAAGUUUGACCUCAAAUCAGGUAGGACUACCCGCUGAACUUUAGCAUAUCAAUAA